rnacentral:rRNA from 1 species
GAUGAACGCUGGCGGUAUGCCUAACACAUGCAAGUCGUACGAGAGUUUUUAACUCUAGUGGCGGACGGGUGAGUAACACGUGAGAAUUUGCCUUUAGGAGGGGGAUAACAAUUGGAAACGAAUGCUAAUACCCCAUAUGCUUUUGAGUGAAAUGGAUUUUAUCCGCCUAGAGAGAAGCUCGCGGCUGAUUAGCUUGUUGGUAAGGUAAGAGCUUACCAAGGCGACGAUCAGUAUCUGGUUUGAGAGGACGAUCAGCCACACUGGGACUGAGACACGGCCCAGACUCCUACGGGAGGCAGCAGUGGGGAAUUUUGGACAAUGGGGGAAACCCUGAUCCAGCAAUGCCGCGUGAGUGAAGAAGGCCUCGGUUGUAAGCUCUUUGUCUAGGGAAGGAAACGAACCCGGACGUCUAACACAGUCC